rnacentral:rRNA from 1 species
UACGUAGGAGACGAGCGUUGUCCGGAAUUACUGGGCGUAAAGCGCGUGUAGGCGGACAGGCAAGUCUGCUGUGAAAGCUCCUGGCUUAACCGGGAGUGGUAGGUGGAAACUACAGGACUAGAAUCUGGCAGAGGGGGGUGGAAUUCCACGUGUAGCAGUGAAAUGCGUAGAGAUGUGGAGGAACACCGAUGGCGAAGGCAGCCCCCUGGGCUGAGAUUGACGCUCAGGCACGAAAGCGUGGGGAGCAAACAGG